UGAAAAGCCGCCUCCAGAGCAGUAGCCCU
rnacentral:piRNA from 1 species